UCCCCCCCGUCACACCUGAGGCCAGGGUGGGGCAGAAUAAGAAAGCUGCUGUACAGAGCUGUCUACUGGAAGAAACUCACAAAAAUGUGAAACAGAAUAUAUUCAGAAAAGUACCAGAAGCUGCCUGAUGAAGAGGAAGAUGUUGACAAAUCCUUCUUACUUCAACUACAGGAAGCACCGUGUUCAUACAACCUGCUGGGGCAUUCACAUCUGCUGGAAAAGCAGCACAGCAAUUUUCCCAGCCAUACUCUAUCCAAUGGAUGUAGAAACACACACUGGGACUUACAGUGAACAAAUCUACUAAGGAGAAAUCCUAUUUCCUGCCUCAAGCAGGUGACUGGUUUACUCACUUGACUACAAAUUAUUUCAACAAGGUACCAGUCUUGAGCAGAGAUGGAGAACCACCCUUUAGGCAAGAUGUAAUUAUUAAUGAUCCAAAUAAAGCAAAUGAAAUAUAG